ensembl:lncRNA
GUACUAAACUCAUAAAGCAAAAUUUGGCUAUAUAACUCAAGGUUAACCUGCAGCAACCCCGGCAAGUUUGACCACGUCGGUGGAUCAUCUAGAAAACACUCUUGAGUUCGGUGUCACGUUGGUGGCAUAUCAUGGAAAAAAUAAAACUCAAGGUUCGCAGCGGCGACCCCGGUGAGUGCGUUGACCAAAGCGCAGCGGUAACAACUCGGGCACUCGUGACUAUGACCACGUCGGUGGCACGUUAUCUAUUACUCAUGGUUGACUGCAGUAACCCCGGUGAGUGCGUUGACCACGUCAACGCACAACUGGGGCACAUCUCAGGCACUCGUGAGUUUGUUGCACACGUCAGUGCGGUACAACACAGAACUCAACGUCCUACAUCCGGUCGAAUUCAAGGUUCUUUCUUCAAGCGCACACGAUGCUCUCUAACGUCGGUUAAGACAGGUUUUACACGUUUGCAACCAUAGCUGUUUUUGGCGGCCUGUUUCCUUUCUAGUGUUGGUCUAGUCUUGUGUCAAGCUGUCAUUUUAGUUUUUAUUAGUUUUAGUUACAUUCAUACUCUUUCCAGUGUUAUCGUAAUUCCAUUUAGAUGUUAUCGAAGUUACAAGUGCGUAGUUUUGUUAAAUAAGGUAAACGGUUGAAAAUCGAUGUUAUGUCUGGAACAGUUGAAGUUCCAGUUGAACAAAAUAACGUUAUAAGUCUUUAUCGCCUAGUUUAGGUCAACGAAAAUGAAGAGACAUUUUAGCAGUCUUAUUUUCGUAAAACACUUUUUUGUCUUGUUUUAUUCGCCAACUAUAUUGUACUAUGCAUUUAAUCACAGCUAUUGUCACACACCCAGCAUCCACGUUGCGUCCAGUCUCGUUUUUCUCACGCGGUUUGUUGAUGAAGACUCUUAGUCAUAAUUUUCAUUGCCAAAAGCAACACUAUUUGCAACUACCGGCGGUGGUGGUUAUCAGGUACUAAAUUCAUAAAGCAAAAUUCGGUUUCAUAACUCAGGUUAACCUGCAGCAACCCCGGCGAGUGUGACCACGUCGGUGGAUCAUCUAGAAAACACUCUUGAGUUCGCUGUCACGAAAGUGGCGUAACAUAGGUAAAUAAAACUCAAGGUUGCAGUGGCAACCCCGGUGAGUGCGUGACCACGUCGGUGGCACGUUAUCUAGUACUCAUGGUUUGACUGCAGUAACCCCGGUGAGUGCGUUGCCCACGUCGGUGGGAACAACUCAAGCACUCGUGAGUUCGUUGCGCACGUCGGUGCGGUACAACACAGAACUCUACGUUCGCUGCAGCAAAUCCGGUGAGUGCGUUGCCCACGUCGGUGGGAACAACUCAAGCACUCGUGAGUUCAUUGCGCACGUCGGUGCAGUACAACACAGAACUCUACGUUCGCUGCAGCAAAUCCGGUGAGUGCGUUGCCCACGUCGGUGGGAACAACUCAAGCACUCGUGAGUUCGUUGCGCACGUCGGUGCGGUACAACACAGAACUCCAUGUUCGCUGCAGCAACCAUGGUAGUGCGUUGACCACGUCGGUGGGCACAACUCAGGCACAUGCAAAUUUAAUUACCACGUCGGUGGCAUAAUAUCAAAAGCUCAAGUGCAGGGCACUCAGAGUCCAUUGACCACGUCGGUGUUCAUCACGGAAGUUCACAAUAUUUGCAGCAGCAACACCGGUGAGUGCGUGACCACGUCGGUGGCACAGCAAUGGCACUCGUGAUUUCGUUGACCACGUCGGUGUUCAACACGGAAGUACACAAUAUUUGCUGCAGCAACACCGGUGAGUGCGUGACCACGUCGGUGGCACAUCAAGGGCACUCGUGAGUUCGUUGACCACAUCGGUGGUUCAACGCGAAAGCACUCAGGUCACGCAGCGACCCCGGAGAGUGAAUCGACCACGGCAGUUGGUACAGCACGAAAGCACUCGUGGCUCGCUGCGUAACAGCUGCAGAGUGCUCUAGAUUUCAAUUGAUCUCGCUGAUGGUAUUUUUAAGCUCAAUUGCUUUUACGUGAUUCAUCGAUCCCGCUGACGGUUUUUAAGCUUAUCGUUUUACGGGAUUUACGAUUGACUCUUAAUAUGUCGUAUAUUGGGUAUGCCUUUUAUCUUCCAGAAGCAGUAUAGAUCCUUGUCCACUUCUUCUACGGCGGGUAUGUAUGCUCUCAUUACCCCCUUUCGCUAUUCUAUUUUUGGGGACGGCUCCACCCCUGCCAGUCCCGGCAGGACAUGCCGAGUUAUCACCUAUUUCCGGCGUAGGCCUACGUCCUCUCUUUUGGGGAAGGCUCCGCCCCUGCUAGUGCUGGCAGGAUACGCCGAGUCCGCACGUCACCCUGGAUCAGUGACGGGGCUCAUGCCAAAGAUUUACCAUGCAAAAUAUUCCCAUGUCGUUAUUUAAAUAAAUCCUGUUCAUACUUAUCGGUGAUCAAGUCUUUAUGGGAGAAAUGUUAAGCUUGCUGGUAGUUCUACCAUGAGGACUCAAAUCACGCGCGGCUGGCCGCCAAUCACCAGCUACCAAUCACCUGCCUACACCUGCUCUAUAAAGAGUAGUCUAACAUGUUUUUGCUGCUCAGGUCUUCGUUCGACGCACCUCCAUCCACCCCACCACCACCAGGUCGGCCUCAGUCUACUUGUCCAGGGGAAGGCUCCGCCCCUGCUAGUCCUGGCAGGAUACGCCGAGUCCGCACGUCACCCUGGAUCAGUGACGGGGCUCAUGCCAAAGAUUUUUCCAUGCAAAAUAUUCCCAUGACGUUAUUUAAAUAAAUCCUGUUCAUAC